rnacentral:rRNA from 1 species
GACGAACGCUGGCGGCGUGGAUUAGGCAUGCAAGUCGAACGGUAUCAUCCUUUCGGGGGUGAGAGAGUGGCGAACUGGUGAGUAACACGUAGGUUAUCUACCCUCAAGACGGGGACAACCCAGGGAAACUUGGGCUAAUACCGGAUGUGAGCAACUUUUAGUUGUUUGAAAGGUGGCGUAAGCUGUCGCUUGGGGAUGAGCCUGCGUCCUAUUAGUUAGUUGGUGAGGUAACGGCUCACCUAGGCAAUGAUAGGUAGGCGGCCUUAACGGGUGGUCGCCCACACUGGGAUUGAGAUACGGCCCAGACUCCUACGGGAGGCAGCAGUCGAGAAUAGUCUACAAUGGCCGGAAGGCUGAUAGUGCGACGCCGCGUGAACGAGGGAGCCCUUCGGGGUGUAAAGUUCUUUUCUAUACGAGCAGUGCUAUAUAUAUGGAUAGUAUAUAUAGAGGGAUAGUAGUAUAGGAAUAAGCAACGGCUAACUCCGUGCCAGCAGCCGCGGUAAACAUACUCG